rnacentral:rRNA from 1 species
ACGUAGGGUGCAAGCGUUAAUCGGAAUUACUGGGCGUAAAGCGUGCGCAGGCGGUUUCGUAAGUCUGUCGUGAAAUCCCCGGGCUUAACCUGGGAAUGGCGAUGGAGACUGCCAAGCUCGAGGCAGAUAGAGGGAUGUAGAAUUCCGGGUGUAGUGGUGAAAUGCGUAGAGAUCCGGAGGAAUACCAGAGGCGAAGGCGGCAUCCUGGGUCUGACCUGACGCUGAGACGCGACAGCAUGGGGAGCGAACAGGA